rnacentral:rRNA from 1 species
GAUGAACGCUGGCGGCGUGCCUAAUACAUGCAAGUCGAGCGAACAGACGAGGAGCUUGCUCCUCUGUCGUUAGCGGCGCACGGGUGAGUAACACGUGUAUCCCGUACCUAUCAGACUGGGAUCACUACGGGACACGGGCGCUAAUAGCGUAUAAUAUAUUGCACCGCAUGGUUCAAUAGUGAAAGACGGCUUUGCGGUCACUUAUAGCUGGAUACGGGCCUCAUUAGCUGGUUGGUAAGGUAAAGGCUUACCAAGGCAACGAGGCGUAGCCGACGUGAGAGAGUGAUAGGCCACCUGGGAGCUGGAACACGGACAAGAGGCCUACGGGAGGGAGCAGUAGGGAAUCGUCCGCAAUGGGGGAGAGCCUGACGGAGCAACGCGGAGUGAGAGGUAACGACGUUGGGAGCGGAAAACCCUGUUAUUGGGGAAGAACAGCUGUGGAAGUAACUAUGCAGGGCGUGACGGUACCUGGUCAGAAAGCAACGGCUAACUACGUG